CUUCUCCUCUGUCAUUAUGUCUUUGCAUUUACAGCAUUAUGUAACCAGCUUGCUAAAUCAUUAUCCUCUGUGACUUCUAGACGCCGUUAAUAUUGCCGUUGCUCAGCAGCGGCGUUCUUCACGACUUCACCACUUGAACGCCACGUUUAUCGUGCACACGACUUCCCGUGUUAUAAACACAAGCUCAGGAGUUUCAUUUGAAGGCACCGUAAUUGUCUAUUUCUGAC